rnacentral:rRNA from 1 species
UACGUAGGGUGCAAGCGUUGUCCGGAAUUAUUGGGCGUAAAGAGCUCGUAGGCGGUUUGUCACGUCGGAUGUGAAAACUCGGGGCUCAACCCCGAGCCUGCAUACGAUACGGGCAGACUUGAGUUCGGCAGGGGAGACUGGAAUUCCUGGUGUAGCGGUGAAAUGCGCAGAUAUCAGGAGGAACACCGGUGGCGAAGGCGGGUCUCUGGGCCGAUACUGACGCUGAGGAGCGAAAGCGUGGGGAGCGAACAGG